UUUCUUUAGUUCUUGAUCUAAACAUAUUCAAAUUAAACUCAUUCAAACAUAAUUCCAUUCAAUUUAAUCCAAAAACACAUAAAUGGGAAAAUUACCAUUUUGCCCUUGACAUUGAACACAUUUUACAAUUUAGUCCAAAUUGCACAAAACACAAAACAUGUAAAAUUUGCACACAUCAUGCUUAGGUCGAAUGUUACCCAUGCUCAUACAAGUCCAUACAUUUCAUUUAUUUCACAUUUUAGUCCCUCAAUUUAUUAUUUUUACAAUUUAGCCCUAAUUACUCAAAUUCAUCAAAAAUUCCAAUACAAAACAUAUUAAUCCAAAACAUAUCUUUCAUAAUUCAUCAACUAACAUAAAAAAACUCAUAAACUCAUCAGUGGAAAAACUCAAAAUAUUCAUCAAAUUCAAAAAUUACAACAUAGGCUUUGUAGAUUUCAAAGCAACGAUCUCAAAAACGUAAAAAUUAUCAAAAACCGAGCAAAAACGAACCUUGAAUUAAGCUUGAUAGUAGCCGAAACCUAAAAAGCCAUGGAUGAUUUUCUUUCUUUGAUAUAUUCGACCAACAAAGAUGAUAAUGGCUUUAAUUUAUGCUUUUGUUUUAUUUAAUUAUCAUAUAAUUAUUCAUUUCCAUUUUUAACCUUUAUAAUUUUAUUCCAUUUCCACUAACUCAUGUCCAAAAGUGUCCAUGCAUAAAUUAAAUGAUCUAAUUGCAUCAUAAAUACCUCAUGCUAUAAAGACAACAACAAUUCGACCCUUACAUAUUUAACUAUCAACUUUUUCAUCUUACGCGAUUAAGCUUUUUUAUUAAAUCGGCACUCAAACGACAAAAUUAAAACACAAAAAUUUCAUGGAUAUAAAUUCGCACAGCAUAAACACAGAUAAUAAUGUUUAAAUAUUUUUCUGGCUCAGAUUUAUGGUCUCGAAACCACUAUUCUGAUUAGGGUCGAAACCGGACUGUUACAAUUCUAGUUGAAACUCACAUAGCUAAACAAGCUGUUGUAAAUACAAAGUUUGAAUGGAGAUGCAUUGAAGAACAAGUAUCUACUUCAACAAGUAGUUGCCCGCUCGAUAAUUGUUAGUAUAUUUAAAGUUGAUAUAAGCUUUCAUAAUUACUUUCCCUUCUGAUUAGAAUUCAUUACUAAUUCCCCUGAAGUUAAAAAGCAGCAAGACAACAAGUUUCUGACAAAAGGUUGUUCUGGUCUAAGCUAAUAAAGGACUCAAUAUUGUCAGCUUGGCUAUUGAAUUUACUUCUUCAACACAGACUAGAAAAAUCGAGUUGUGUAGGAUUCAAACAACUUAAAGUGCCUUGCUGGUCUACUUUUUCCCGACUAUCGUCAUGUCAAAGAGGGUUUUGCAACAAACAAAGCAGCUUCUCUUUGAUUGUGUUAGGGAGUUGGUGGAAAAUAACCAUGAGAAGGAACAGAAAGGGAAAAGAUUUAAAGGAUCUGGUGAAGAGAUGUUAGAUGUGAAAAUAUGAAGGGAAAGGGAAACGAUAUGGAGAUGAAUCCGACAUUAAGCAAUUGUUAGAGCUGGAUAUAAUUAAUUCAACCUAAGAAUAGAAGAAUGGUUUUGAAUCCCAAAAGAGGGAUAUGGGGAUAGUAAUUGGAAAUGUCAUUGUAGAGGAGAUUACAAGUGAAGUUUGGGAUUUGACGGUGUUUGUUUAAAAAUGAAUAUGACAUUUCUUUUCUAGUUUUGUUACUAAUUCACUUUGAGAAGUUUUAGUAUGAUCAUGAAAUCAUUACAAACAUGUAUAUAGGGUUAGACAUUGCUAGCAUACUAGUUGGAUAUUUGGUGUAUAGAUGUUUAAAUGUAACUGUUGAGUUUGUAUGGUGUAUAGAUAUUUGGUAUUAUAUAUAUAAAUGAGAAUAAUUAUUGUUUUUGGAUCAAUAUUUGUAAUUUUGGUAACUAUGAUUCCAUGAGAUUAUAUUUUGUCUUUCAUAUUAGACAUGUAGUGAGAUGAUGUAGUAGAUUUGUGAAAAGAAAUUGUGUCAAAUUUGAUAGUUGAAAUCACCCACGACAAAAGGUAAGUGUGUGUGGGAUGAGAGGGUAGCAUUUAUC
rnacentral:lncRNA from 1 species